rnacentral:rRNA from 1 species
AUUGAACGCUGGCGGCAGGCCUAACACAUGCAAGUCGAACGGUAACAGGAAGCAGCUUGCUGCUUCGCUGACGAGUGGCGGACGGGUGAGUAAUGUCUGGGAAGCUGCCUGAUGGAGGGGGUAAAUACUGGAAACGGUAGCUAAUACCGCAUAAUUUCGCAAGACCAAAGAGGGGGACCUUCGGGCCUCUUGCCAUCGGAUGUGCCCAGAUGGGAUUAGCUUGUUGGUGGGGUAACGGCUCACCAAGGCGACGAUCCCUAGCUGGUCUGAGAGGAUGACCAUCCACACUGGAACUGAGACACGGUCCAGACUCCUACGGGAGGCAGCAGUGGGGAAUAUUGCACAAUGGGCGCAAGCCUGAUGCAGCCAUGCCGCGUGUAUGAAGAAGGCCUUCGGGUUGUAAAGUACUUUCAGCGGGGAGGAAGGGAGUAAAGUUAAUACCUUUGCUCAUUGACGUUACCCGCAGAAGAAGCACCGGCUAACUCCGUG